UUUUCUCUCUCCUCUCUUCCUAUUCCCAUCUCUUUUUUUUGUCGUUGAAUAGAAAGUGGUAAAGGGAAAUGAGGUAGAAGACGAGAUUUGAUGUCGAGUAUUGGGUAUCCUGUAUUACCACUGGACUUUAUCAACUAAACUAUUUUUUUUGUUUGUUAAUUUUACUCUUGUGAUUUAUUCUGGGAAUUUGGAGACGCUAAAUUGGUGAAUGCAAUUGUUGAAAUGGCAAUUUUGUUUUUAUUAUUUAUGGAAUAGAUUGACAAAUUUGCUUUUUUGUUUAAAAGCUUUAAUUUUGUUUUUUUUACGUAGUGACUAGUGAGUAUUGCCACUUCUAGUUUUUUUAAUGUGAAGUGUUAGUUUUUAUUAUCUUUAUUGUGUGGUUGACAGCUGUAUGUUACCAAAAAAGGGCUCAACUUUCAUGUUUUUGGUUAAUUUUUUUAUGACUGUCUUUGAGUUUGCAUUGUCCUUUCCAGCAAGUUUACCUGCGUUUUCAAAAUUUGUUGGUUGUAUACUUUUUUGGCUAAUCAUAAUUAUUAGUUUUUGUGUUGUUGUGAAUAUUGUGAUUAAAGAUUUGGUUGAAGUAGAGUUGAUCAUAGACUGGGUGGUCGUUGGACCCGGAUUUCGGUACAACAAUCGGGUUAAUCUGAAUUAUCAUUGGUUAAGCUGCUAAUUUGAAUGUGCAAGGUAUAUGAAUUACGCAAGUUUUUACUCUAGAUCAUGUAAGUUGAAUGCCCACCAGGUCACCAACAUUUGUUGUCAUGGGAAAAUGAUGAAGCUUUUAGUUACCCCCACUUUUCAUUGAAGAAAAUGACUUAUCUUAAUUGCAAAUUUGCAAGUAGUGUGGACUUUGUUUUAAAUGAGAGUUGAUUGUAUUUUAGGCAGAGUUAGGAAUUGGGGAUGGGAAGCACCUGAUCGCGUGGCACAAACUAGGAUGAUUUUAAAAGGGAUAUAGUAAAAUUAUUUGAUUGUUUCUGUCAAGGAGAUGAAUAAAAUUUGAGUUGCAAAACUUAUAAGUCUGAGUUGUUUGGCCUUAUUUUUUGAGGAUUCUUGUGUUGUAGUAGAAAGGUUUCAGUAGGCUGUAGAAAAAGGGCAUAUAGAGACUUGGGAAAAGCUUGAUGCAAACAUGGAUGAUUGGAUUUUGUUGACAAAAGAGAGAGGAUCUGGGAGAUGGAAAAGAGAGAGCCACCUGAAGGCCGGUCUUGUAGUAAAGAGGAAGAAAGCACACGAGGUCAGUAAAGGGACCGUAUGAGUGGCCGAGUGGGUGAUAUGAGUAUGCUCGUGUUUGUUACAUUGUUUCGACACUUGUGUUUAUGGUGCUUUUAUGAAGACUGAAAGAGCCAUCCGAAAUUCUGAACCUUUUAAUUACCUAAUGAUGGCACCUCUUUACAUAUCAUGUGAAAUAUAUUUGUUUUUACUUCAUAUUCAAUCAUGAUGAUUUCUUGCAUUUUCA